GUAGGUGAACCUGCGGAAGGAUCAUUAUCGUGGGGCUCCGGCCCCGUCGAGAAAACACCCUUGCCUUUUUCGAGCACCGUCCGUUUCCUCGGCAGGCACGCCUGCCAAUGGGGACCCAAACCAAACCCUUUUGUACCUGCAACCGUCUGAGAAACAAUCAAUUAUCAAAACUUUCAACAACGGAUCUCUUGGUUCUG
rnacentral:misc_RNA from 1 species